rnacentral:rRNA from 1 species
UACAGAGGGUGCAAGCGUUGUUCGGAAUUAUUGGGCGUAAAGGGCGCGUAGGCGGUGCGGUAAGUCUUUUGUGAAAUCUCCGGGCUCAACUCGGAGUCUGCAGGAGAAACUGCCGUGCUUGAGUAUGGGAGAGGUGAGUGGAAUUCCUGAUGUAGCGGUGAAAUGCGUAGAUAUCAGGAGGAACACCUGUGGCGAAAGCGGCUCACUGGACCAUUACUGACGCUGAUGCGCGAAAGCUAGGGGAGCAAACAGG